CUGCAUUAUCUUCAGCUCAUUUUCAGACUGACAGUUUUCAGCUUUGCAUCAACUACAGCCUCAUACAAACAUGAGUGGCAGGAGUAAGCCUACGGUUUUCAUUGAAUACUGUGGUUCAGGAUGAGGUUAUGGGGGGUGCGUCAAUCGGCUUGUUAAAGCCCUCCAGAGGGACAUUCCCGAUGUGGAGGUGAAGGAACGCAAAGGGAGGGGAGGUAGCUUUGAGGUAACAUUCAAUGAUGAGGUCAUCCACUCAAAGCUGGGCGGGGGAGGUUUUCCUGAUGCUGAAAAGGUGGUGGAGAGGGUGACGAAGAGAAUCAGCCAGGGAGGACACAGCUCCAAGCGUUAGAGGAUGAAGGUUUAAACAACAGCUGUAUUCACACUGCAAGAACAUGGUUAGAUUUUUAUGGUUCAGAACAUCUGAGAACAAAAGUGAAUUCAAACAUUAAAAUACGACAUUAAAAAUCCAAAUUGUAAUUGUGAACCAACAUCCAAACCUUAAAGUGUCUCCGUCAGCCAUGAGAAGAUCAGACCAUAAAUCUUCACUGUGAAUACAAAGACGAGAGGAUGAUGAGAGCAACUCUGAGGAACCAGCCACUGAUCUGCACUUCUGUUUAUGAAUGUACACACUAAAAGUCUCAGUGUGUACACGAUGCCUAGAAGCUUUUCAUCUGACUGGAGCCUGAGAAACUGCUCUCAUCAUGUCCGUCUGCCAUUUACUCACAAACAAAUAUCUCUACAGCUGCAUUUACUCAGGAAUUUAAAAAAAUAAGAAAAAGUAACAGUUUUCUAAAUUCCAUAUCUCUCUGUUUAGAUAACUCCAAACGUUUUGGCUAGAUGAGAGGAUAGAAAGGACUUUCAUGUUUGUAUGAUGAAUAUGAAGCUACCACCAGCAGAUGGUUAGCUUAGCGUGACGACUGGAGACAGGGAGAAACUGUUAUCCUGGCUCUGUCCUGUCAACUUAAUCAGCUAACCAGGACCUCUAAAGCUCACUAGGCUAAUUAACAUGUAUCUGGGUUGUUUAAACCAUAUAGAAAUAACAGAGUGUGAAAACAGAGCCAGGCUAGCUGCCUCCCUCUAUUUCCAGUCUUUGUAAUGGGCUAAGCUAACCAGCUGCUGUCUUUUCCCCCUAACAGAGGUCAGAGUGGUAUCAAUCGUCUCAACCAACCCUCUGCAAGAAAGCAAAAAUAAGCACUUUCCAAAAAUUUUGAAUUACUCUAUAAAUUUUGGGUAGUCAUACACAGUGUCUGCCACAAUUUCCUACUUGAUUUGAAAAAAAAAAUGGAGUUUUUUCCAAUGUUUUCGAAACAGUUGACACCAGCCUUAACCUGUGUAUUCUUUGUGUGGGUGACCAGCCCAUUCAACUACCAAUACCUGUAUUUCUAAUCUGCAUUUAUACUCUAAAAUGCUUCAUCUUCUAACAUAUGAGAUCUAUUUUAUAUUCAUACCUGACAUAUGCCCCUUUUUCAAAUGUACAUUAGGGAUGUACGAUAUUUGAUUUUUGCCAAUAUCCAAUAUGUUGAUAUUUUAUGACUCAUUAUGGCCAAAGAAAAUAACGCACUCUAGAUUAUGCUCCCACAAAUAUUUUUUUUUAUCACCAAGCGGUGUGUAUUAUCUUUUGUCAGACACCUAGCCUUUUUGUCGUUUGAAUGCGCUUUUGUAAAAUUUUUGCCAUAUCAAUAUAUGCAUUUACAUUUUGCGGGCACAAAGAUGCAAACAUAGAAUAUAAUGCUUUUCACAAUAUACACAUUUACUGGGCAAAACAAUAAAACAGCUUAAACCUAGCUUACAUGUAAAACAGGCCAUCUUUUAUUUUUAUGUAACAAACAAAACUGUUACCUCCUCCCACUUUAACAGGCUUGGAUGAUGCUCUCACUAUAGAACAGUCUGACAAUAGCCAAAACUAGGGCUAAUAUGACCUAUUCUUAACUAAUUAAAGUUGCAUAAUUUAAUGCCAUGAAAAAUCAUUUUGUAAGCCAGUCAUAUCGGCAGAAAAGGUCAUUUCAGGCCAAUGCCGAUAUUUCAUUUUAAAGCCGUUAUCUGCUGAUACCAGUGACCUAUCAAUAUUAUCGUGCAUCCCUAAUACACAUGCAUCAUUACCUGGAUAAUGUUUUGUAAUAAGGGGCUGAACACUACCAUCUGUGUUACUGUUGUAGCAUUUCAGAGUGAGAUACACAUUAAAUCAAUGACAAAUGCUCCAUAUGCACACACAUUUUAACAACUAACACCAUUGCUCUACCGUUGUAUCCAGUGGUGUAGAGGUAGCUGAUGAGGUGGGCGUACUUCAAGGUAGAUUACUGAGGAGAAAGUGGGUAUACUCUCUUAGAUAUUUAAGUGGCUUUUUGGAAUGCUAGGUGGGUAUACUAUGAACGAUCAAAAAAAAAGAUGGAUACCCUGUACACCUGCGUAUAUCCUCCACUACACCACUGGUUGUAUCAUUUCUAAUCAGUUCCAUCAUAACACAUCAAAUGCAAUAAAACAUCACUGGACAAACAACGAUGACUUUGAUACUACUUAUUUAACAGUGCUGAGUUAUUCUGGAAAAGAAGUCUACACCAGUGCUUCUUCAGAUUCUGUAUGUGUGGUGCUCAGUGCUGGCUGUGUGUCAGAUCGACUGAUCCGAACGUCCUUAAGAGAUGAGCCAGACCCCCUAAACUGUUGCAGCUUACUCGUUCCUCUGUUUCCAGCAAACUCAAAUCAUAUCUGAGAAAUCACUUUGGGAUGAAAAUACAAAGCUGCCUAUUUUAGCUAAUUCAUAUAAUGCCAGUUUGGUCAAUGUACUUGAAACAAUUAAUAUUUUAUGUUCUCAUGAUAGCUUUUUUGCAAAGUAAUAGGCGUCAUUUAAAGUAGUUGAAUAAAGAGUAUUUGCUUCAUCAGUGUAUUGGAGUAAGAGUAAGUAACAUAAAAUGUCAUGUCAAAAUUGUACUGUUUCAAAUGUGUAUUCAGCCACCUUUCAUCUGUGGAGAAUUGAUUAUGUCUUUAGACUAUUUAAAGUCACACAACACUCAAAACAUUAUUAUAGCAGCAAUAUAGAGGGAUGGUUGAGCUACAAACACUGAGCUGGCAUUUCACUUUCACCUUAACCUUAGAGAUAGAUUAACAUUUUUCAGUUGUAUCUUUAUACAGACUAUUUGGGUCCAUAUGUACACUGCAAAAGUUGCCCAGUAUGAACAGGAAGAACUUUUUUUUUUUUUUUAACAUACUGCAUGAGAAGAAGAAACUGAACAUAUACUGAAAACUUUCAAACUGUACAUAUCCUAAUAGUAGAUAGGCGACGCACACACGAUACACUGAUUUACCCUCCCACUGGGUGUGGUUUACUUUAUAAUAAUGCAACAAUCGUGACUCAGCAUUAUAUGCAACUCAUCGUCGAGCUGAAAGUCUGCAACUCUGCAUCGAGUCCAGCCUCAUACAAACAUGAGUAACGCGGAUAAGCCCUCUGUCUUUGUUGAACAUAGUGGAUGAUGAUCCUCCUCAUGGCGCUUCCGUGAACUGGAGCAAAUCCUCAAGGAUGUGCAGGUGGUGGGGACUAAAGGGAGGCCAGGUAAGCAGCUUUUUCUUUCUCUCAUUCU